AGUGGCGCAAGGGUGAGUAAUGCGAAGGUAACCAACCCUGGAGUUGGGCAUAGCCGCGGGAAACUGCGGGUAAUACCCAGCGAUGUCGCGAGAUGGCAUCAUCUUGCGACCAAGGGUGUGAUUCCGCUCUAGGACGGGCCUUCGUGGUAUUAGGUAGUUGGUGAGGUAACGGCUCACCAAGCCGACGAUGCCUACCGGGUGUGAGAGCAUGACCCGGCACACUGGAACUGAGACACUGUCCAGACACCUACGGGUGGCUGCAGUCGAGAAUCUUCGGCAAUGGGCGAAAGCCUGACCGAGCGACGCCGCGUGAGGGAAGAAGGCCUUCGGGUUGUAAACCUCUUUCGUAGAGGAGGAAGGGGCCGUGCAGAGCGGUCUUUGACCUAUUCUAGGAAGAAGCUUGGGCUAAGUUCGUGCCAGCAGCCGCGGUAAGACGAACCAAGCGAACGUUAUUCGGAAUUACUGGGCUUAAAGCGCGUGUAGGCGGAUGACCACGUCAGUCGUUGAAAUCCCCCGGCUCAACCGGGGAACAGGCGCUGAUACGAGUUGUCUGGAGGUGGGUAGGGGAGACUGGAACUUCCGGUGGAGCGGUGAAAUGCGUUGAGAUCGGAAGGAACGCCCGCGGCGAAAGCGAGUCUCUGGACCCAUUCUGACGCUGAGACGCGAAAGCCAGGGGAGCAAACGGGAUUAGAUACCCCGG
rnacentral:rRNA from 1 species